rnacentral:lncRNA from 1 species
CAUCUUGGACUCGGUUCGACCAGGUCUGGUGACCGGCGACGAGGGGCCGGGCUCGGCGCCGGGGGUCGGGGAAAGAAGAACUAGGUCUGGCAGUAGAUCAGAAUCUACCUGUUGGGGAAAACCAGAAAUAGGAAGAAGAGUUAUUAAUGGUUCAUUCUUGGCUGAGAAGAAUUCAGUAUGGAAUAAUUAAGGACUGACUUUAAGAGAAUCUACUUGUCACUGGAUUUAGGGUACACCUGGAUAAUCCAAGAUGAUCUCACCUGAAAAUUUUUAAUUACAUCUGCAAAGACCUUUUCUUCAAAUAAAGUAAUAUUCACAGGGUCUGGGGAUUGGGAUAUGGAUGUGUCUUUUCAGGAGCCACCAUUUAACCCACUAAAUUCAUUAUAUGCUGUUUAAUGCUGUAUCUUCCUUUUGGAUUGAAGAGAUAUGCUUCUGUUUGAAGAUGGGCAAGUGGGCUAGGGAAUUUUUGGCUAGUAGGUAGAAAGGAACUUUAAAAAUAUUUCUGGUUGGUGCUGUUUAGUAAGUGCUUGUUAAACUUUCAGAGGUCAAAUAUCUUGAACACAAAUUGGAGAAGGAGUAAAUCAGUAUAAAGUGAAAAAUAUGAUAUUUUCUCCAAAAGGCAGUCACUGUCCAUUAUAAGCUCCAUCCAUCAUGCCAAGGCAAGUGGCCAGAACUAUGAGAUUGGACAUGGCAAAGACUGAACUACUAUCAAUGCCUUUUACAAAAUGAGGUCAUUGGAUUGCAGAGUUGGCUUUCGAGAAGAUUUUGUGGCCUUUCUCAGCUGUCUAGGUGCUGUAGGUGCUGUGUUUCUAUGGCUGCAAGGAUGAACCAAAGUGCUAGGAUUACAGACUUGAGCCACCAUGCCCUGCCAAAAGAGAAUCAUUUCUAUGAAAACUAAGUUGAAUGUCUUAGAAACACUUGAUAAUGAUUAUGAUAUGGAUGGAUGAUGGAAGGAAGGAUCUAUGAAUAUAAUAUUUGAGUUUCAGUUACUGGCCUUUACUUCUUCCAGAAAGUCAGGCCAAAAGAACAAAGUCCUAGAAGGUCUUCUGGUGAGUCACAUUCUGAGCAGCAAAACUGGCAUUGAGGCAUAAUUAACAUUCAGAUUGCCCCCAGUUUCUAUGGAGAUGAGUCUAGCCCCUCGGGGGAGUAGUGAUGGAUGUGUAAUCUCCAAGAUAAGUAACUGACAACUACAGAAGCAAAGACUUGCAUGGGCUUCAUCCUCUCUAGGCUGUAUUCUAGGAACUCAAAAUGAAAGAAAAAUAGGAUAUGUUUCUUACUUUAGAGACCACAGAAACUAGUCUCCUAUAUUGGACCUUCUUGGUAAGAGCCCCAUCCCUUCAAAGGCCACAUGAAUCUGAAGGCCAAUAUUCAAGUCCUAUGCUGUUAUUAUCAACUUGGAUGCAGCGAGUCAUCUGACCUGACCUGUGGACACAGCCUCUGCAUCUGUUGAGAGGAUUAAAGAAGUCUAAUUCACAGUUACUGCAAGUAUAAUGGAGCUGAGAGGAUGGUGUGAGCAAUAGCACCAAUGUAAGAGUUAUCAUAGAUUAACACACUACUGGUUCUGAUGCAGCACAUAAGGCAAGUACCAUGGGAAUGCAGAGGAGAAAGAAAUUAGGGAGAUCAACAAGGUUUCACAAAGCAGCUAUGGUGAACUUGGCCUUGAGAGUAGGGUUUUCCUGGUGAAGAAAAACAUUCUAGGCAGAAGAAAUAGCAUACACAAAGACUCAGAGGCACCAAAGAGUCCUGUGUGUGUGGUGAAUAAUGAACAGAAAUUGCCAUAGAUUAGGUGGGAAGUCAUUGGUGUUAAUUUAUAGGUUUGAUAGAAGCCAAUUCUUGAAGGGUUUUGUAUGCCACAGUAAAGGACAGAGUUUUAUUUAAGGAGCCACUGAAAAGCUUCAUUCAUUCUACAAAUAACUUUUUCGGUGAGCCAGUAUGUGCCAAGCAUGGUUGUAAGUACUUGUAAUACAUCAGAAUAAUAAUAAAAAGAGUAUUCAUGUACCCACCACCCAAUUUAAAAACUAAGAAAUUGUCAAUCCUUAUGUAAGUCUCUGUGUUUCCCUUGUCAAUGGAAUCCUUCUCCUUGCUCCCCAAAAGUAACCCAAACGCUAAGUUUUGUGUUUGUCAUUUUCUUGUUUUUCAUUUCAGUUUUACUCAUAUGUGAGGAAAGGGGCUUAAGAAAUAUUUGCUCAAUGAGAAACAGAAGAUCAAACUUAAAGUCACAGCAAGUAGGUGGCAGAGUGAAGAGCAGAUCCAGCAGAUUCUCUGAACUCUCGGACUGAGGAUCUCAUUAAUACAAC